rnacentral:tRNA from 1 species
GCGCGCGUGGCGUAAUUGGUAGCCGCACCACGCUUAGGACGUGGCGCCUUCGGGCAUGUGGGUUCGAGUCCCUCCGCGCGCA